GCAGCGAUGGCCGAGUAGUUAACGCGUUGGACUUAAGUUCCAAUGGACAGACGUCCGCGUGGGUUCGAACCCCACUUGCUGCA
rfam:Enterobius vermicularis genome assembly, scaffold: EVEC_contig0005772